AACUUUCAACAACGGAUCUCUUGGCUCUCGCAUCGAUGAAGAACGCAGCGAAAUGCGAUAACUAAUGUGAAUUGCAGAAUUCAGUGAAUCAUCGAGUCUUUGAACGCAUCUUGCGCCCUUUGGUAUUCCAAAGGGCAUACCUGUUUGAGUGUCAUUAA
rnacentral:rRNA from 1 species